rnacentral:lncRNA from 1 species
GCGGGCGCGCGCGCGGCCUGGCCGGUUUGGGCGCGGUCGGACCGGGCCGGUCCGUUUGCUCCUUUUUUUUCUUUUACCCUUUUCUUUUUCUGUUUUUCUUAUUCCUUUGAUAUCUUUUGAUUUUGAACUCCAAAUUGGUCCAAAUAAAUUCCUGAAAAUUUGUAAAAUCAUGUUCUACCAUGAUACAACUUUUGGGAGUAGUUUCUCUUCAAAAUAAAAUACAUAAAAAUACAUUUGCCCUAUAAAUGCCUUUAGGGCCAUAUAUCUAUUUAAAGAAAUUACUUUUUCAACUCCAAUGAUUAUCCAAAAAUUAUGGGAUAGCUUAUAUAUGCAUUAAACCCUUUUUAUACACAAAACCUAUUGGUUUGAAGAUCCAAAGUUCAAAUGGAUGUAAACCCUAAGGUUCAAGUUGAAAUAAAACUUUUAAAGCCUUUUUGAGAUUCAAAUUUGAAUUCAAACAUGCAAUUGUCGCAUGAUGCUUAUGGGUGCAAUGCACAUGUAAGAGUUUGAAAUUUUGGGAUGUUACAAC